CUACGGGCGGCAGCAGUUAGGAAUAAUCUACAAUGCGCGCAAGCGUGAUAGUUUGAGCCAGAGUGCGUUUCAUUCGAAACGCUUUUGUGAAAUGUAAAAAGUUUCACGAAUAAGGACUGGGUAAGACGAGUGCCAGCCGCCGCGGUAAUACUCGCGGUCCAAGUCGCAGCCAUUUUUAUUGGGUCUAAAACAUCCGUAGCUUGUUUUGAAAGUUUCUUGUGAAAUUUUAUGUCGUAAACAUGAAGCGGGCAAGAAAUACUACAAAGCUAGAGACUGGGAGGCGUAAGAAGGUACGUUCGAAGUAGCGGUAAAAUGUGUUAAUCUCGGACGGACUAACAAUUAGCGAAGGCAUCUUACGAGAACAGUUCUGACAGUAAGGGAUGAAGGCCAGGGGCGCAAAACGGAUUAGAUACCCGCGUAGUC
rnacentral:rRNA from 1 species